AAUGUGUUUUUACAUGUGCUGGCACUUUCGAUUUUUAAGCUUUCUUUUCAUGAAUCCUCUGACAAAUGUGACUGUUUGCUGGUGUUAUGAUCAUGUGAACGUUUACAUGUUACAGUGAUCAGUUACUGUUUUACAGUGAUCGGUUACUGUGUUAAAUGUUACAAUGAUCGGUUACAGUGAAAAAUAUUACAGUGAUCUUUUACUGUGUUACAUUGAACUGUUGCUCUGUUACAAUGGUUGGUUACUAUGUUACAGUGAUCGGUUACUGUGUUACAUGUUACAGUGAACUGUUGAUGUGUUACAGUGAUCAGUUACUAUGUUACAUUACAUUUAUUGGUUACUGUGUUUCAGUGAACUGUUGCUCUGUUACAAUGGUUGGUUACUAUGUUACAAUGAUCGGUUGCUGUAUUACAGUGAUCGGUUACUAUUUUACAUGCUACAAUGAUCGGUUUCUGUGUUACAUUGAUCGGUUACUGUGUUACAUGUCAUCAGUUUUGUCAUGACUUGUGGACCCAGCAUCUCUCUGGUGUGUAAUUUGAUUAUUUUUCAGUGUAUCAUUUAUUGUAAAUACCUCACAGACCUGCUCUCCUCUGUGUCUGUAAAGGUUCCUGUGUUUAUCUAUCUGGUUUCUGUGAUGUGUGUCUUACGCUGAGCUGAAGACGAAAGACUGAACUCCUCCAGGUCAUGGGUCUUUCUGAGGGCUCUCCUGACACUCGUCUGGCCGAAGUAGAUGUUUUAGCUCUGUUUUCCAUUUUGCCCUGACUUUAAUUUUGUAAUGUAUCAAAAGAGUCCUUUUUACAAGAUACCUGGGCUUGUCUGUUUUGCCUGCUAUGAAAUGACUUGUCAUGCUGACACUUUAAUUAAAAAGGGACACUUGAGCACA